rnacentral:rRNA from 1 species
AGUGAACGCUGGCGGUAGGCCUAACACAUGCAAGUCGAACGGCAGCACAGUAAGAGCUUGCUCUUACGGGUGGCGAGUGGCGGACGGGUGAGGAAUACAUCGGAAUCUACUUUUUCGUGGGGGAUAACGUAGGGAAACUUACGCUAAUACCGCAUACGACCUACGGGUGAAAGCAGGGGAUCUUCGGACCUUGCGCGAUUGAAUGAGCCGAUGUCGGAUUAGCUAGUUGGCGGGGUAAAGGCCCACCAAGGCGACGAUCCGUAGCUGGUCUGAGAGGAUGAUCAGCCACACUGGAACUGAGACACGGUCCAGACUCCUACGGGAGGCAGCAGUGGGGAAUAUUGGACAAUGGGCGCAAGCCUGAUCCAGCCAUACCGCGUGGGUGAAGAAGGCCUUCGGGUUGUAAAGCCCUUUUGUUGGGAAAGAAAAGCAGCAGGUUAAUACCCCGCUGUUCCGACGGUACCCAAAGAAUAAACACCGGCUAACUUCGU